AAAGGAAUAGACGGGGGCCCGCACAAGCGGUGGAGCAUGUGGUUUAAUUCGAUGCAACGCGAAGAACCUUACCUGGGUUAGACAACGUAAGACAGUGGUAGAGAUAUCACCUUGUAGCAAUACACUUACGGUUCAGGUGCUGCAUGGCUGUCGUCAGCUCGUAUCGUGAGAUGUCGGGUUAAGUCCCUUAACGAGCGCAACCCCUAUCCCUAGUUGCCAUCAUUUAGUUGGGCACUCUAUGGAGACCGCCGGCGUUAAGCCGGAGGAAGGCGGGGAUGACGUCAAGUCCUCAUGGCCCUUAUGUCCAGGGCUACACACGUGCUACAAUGGCAGGUACAAAGGGUUGCCAACCAGCAAUGGGGAGCUAAUCUCAGAAAGCCUGUCUCAGUUCGGAUUGAAGUCUGCAAUUCGACUUCAUGAAGCUGGAAUCGCUAGUAAUCGCGGAUCAGAACGCCGCGGUGAAUACGUUCCCGGGCCUUGUACACACCGCCCGU
rnacentral:rRNA from 1 species